rnacentral:rRNA from 1 species
GAUGAACGCUCGCGAUAGGCUUAACACAUGCAAGUCGAGGGGCAGCGAGGGUAGCAAUACCUGUCGGCGACCGGCGCACGGGUGAGUAACGCGUAUGUAACCUGCCCGCAACAGGGGGAUAACCCGGCGAAAGUCGGACUAAUACCGCAUAAAACAGGGGUCCCGCAUGGGAAUAUUUGUUAAAGAUUUAUCGGUUGCGGAUGGGCAUGCGUACCAUUAGGUAGUUGGUGAGGUAACGGCUCACCAAGCCUUCGAUGGUUAGGGGUGCUGAGAGGAAGGUCCCCCACACUGGUACUGAGCCACGGACCAGACUCCUACGGGAGGCAGCAGUGAGGAAUAUGGUUCAAUGGGCGAGAGCCUGAACCAGCCAAGUCGCGUGAAGGAUGACUGCCCUAUGGGUGGUAAACUUCUUUUACAAGGGAAUAAAAUGAGAUACGUGUAUUUUAUUGCAUGUACCUUGGGAAUAAGCAUCGGCUAACUCCGUG